GGUGGGUUGCAUCAACAUCCCGGUUAUCGUAAUAGUUAAGGUUAAACUUAGCAAUGACAGAGUCGUUACAGUUAACAUUUUACUGCAACGUGUUGCACCAUCACUUCGUUCGUCAUUGUUAAUGUUAUUAGGGUUGCUAAUCGUUUGAGACAUAAUUAUCCCCAAAGUUAUUGUGGGAAACGUUUUUAUGUAGGGCAAUACCAAAUCUAGCUGUCGGACUGAAGCCGUCACAGAGUACAUUGUAGCCGUCAUUCUCUGUCAAAGCACUCAAAGUCAACAUGUCAUAGGACCUAAGUCUGUUAUUCCUCCAAAUAUUGACCAAAAGAUUAU